CAGCUCAAACAGGAAAAUAACUUUCAGUUGAGUAAAUAUGCUGAUCAAAUGCAGUCGUUUCAGCUUUGAUUCAGCAUCUGCUUAGCACUCACUGCUGAUCCUUCUCAGUGCUAGUUAGACGACAUAUACCAGCCGUGUGCAUGUGUGGACUACUCGAUCUAAAGGCUCAUUUGGUUAUCGUUCUUCCGCUAAUAUCAUCAAAACCUAAACUUAAAAAGGCAGACGCGAAAAUAUUGAGCGGACAAAAUGAAAAUGGACCUAAAAAUUCUUCUGGUCCUGAUGGCUGUUGUCCUACUCGUUAGAGUUCUGGAAGCCAAGCCUUUUACUUGGAGAGCAAGUAGCUUCACUACAAGCGGACCACAAAAUACCUCCACCGAAAGUUCGAAUUCUUCAUCAAGCUCAGGAAGUUCCAAAAGCUCAAUGAUCAUAGUCAUAGUAGUCGUAUUGAUAGUACUUAUUAACAUUGCCGUUGUUGUUUUUAUUUUCAUUCGCCGUCGCCGACUGACAGCCGGGCCGUAGGGAGAGGAGUAAGGGAGGGCCAUGGCCCCCCAAGCAAAAUAAGUUUGACUACAAAUUGUAAACUUUCACUUUCUUCUUCUUCUUCUUUUUUUAGGUUAAUAAUUAAGUUACAUGUCCAAUUUCUAUCGAUUCGAUGGUUUUACUUUUAAUUAUUAUACAGCUUCUCAUUAAUCCCAUAUAGGUAACUGUCCAAUUAUUUUCUUAAUUGGACAGGGCUUUACACUUUAUCUGUUUACACAGAUCGGCUGAUCAUUCUUUGAAUUAAAAAGCAAAGGUUUCUCAAUAUUUCCACUAUGUUCGUGAUAAAACCAGCUUUAAUAAUUAAAAAAGCAUUUGCCUAAACCUCGUUUUUCACUGAAACGUAACUUGGAGACGAUAGGAUUAUAUUUUCAUUGAAAUAUUUUUCACUUUCGACAAUUAAUGCUUUUAAAACCUGACGAUAGCGGUAAUAAAACGUGACCAGACUAAGUGUACGCAUGCUUGUCAUGAAACACGAGACAAUAUUUCAACAUGUAAUAAAAUCUUAUAUUUUACUUUUA
rnacentral:misc_RNA from 1 species